rnacentral:rRNA from 1 species
CCUACGGGUGGCAGCAGUGAGGAAUAUUGGUCAAUGGACGAAAGUCUGAACCAGCCAAGUAGCGUGAAGGAUGACUGCCCUAUGGGUUGUAAACUUCUUUUAUAAAGGAAUAAAACGAGGCACGUGUGCCUUUUUGCAUGUACUUUAUGAAUAAGGAUCGGCUAACUCCGUGCCAGCAGCCGCGGUAAUACGGAGGAUCCGGGAGUUAUCCGGAUUUAUUGGGGUUGAAGGGAGCGUAGAUGGGGUUUUAAGUCAGUUGUGAAAGUUGGCGGCUUAACCGUCAAAUUGCAAUUGAUACUGGCAGUCUUGAGUACAGGUGAGGUAGGCGGAAUGCGUGGUGUAGCGGUGAAAUGCAUAGAUAUCACGAAGAACCCCGAUUGCGAAGGCAGCUUACUAAACUGUGACUGACAUUGAUGCUCGAAAGUGUGGGUAUCAAACAGGAUUAGAUACCCCUGUAGUC